GGAGUCUUAGCUCAGUUGGUAGAGCGUUCGCUUGACGUGCGAAAGGCCACUGGUUCGAAUCCAGUAGGCUCCA
rnacentral:tRNA from 1 species